UUGGUGACCAGCGGAGGGAUCAUUACCGAGUUUACAACUCCCAAACCCAAUGUGAACGUUACCAAACUGUUGCCUCGGCGGGAUCUCUGCCCCGGGUGCGUCGCAGCCCCGGACCAAGGCGCCCGCCGGAGGACCAACCAAAACUCUUAUUGUAUACCCCCUCGCGGGUUUUUUUAUAAUCUGAGCCUUCUCGGCGCCUCUCGUAGGCGUUUCGAAAAUGAAUCAAAACUUUCAACAACGGAUCUCUUGGUUCUGGCAUCGAUGAAGAACGCAGCGAAAUGCGAUAAGUAAUGUGAAUUGCAGAAUUCAGUGAAUCAUCGAAUCUUUGAACGCACAUUGCGCCCGCCAGUAUUCUGGCGGGCAUGCCUGUCCGAGCGUCAUUUCAACCCUCGAACCCCUCCGGGGGGUCGGCGUUGGGGAUCGGCCCUGCCUUGGCGGUGGCCGUCUCCGAAAUACAGUGGCGGUCUCGCCGCAGCCUCUCCUGCGCAGUAGUUUGCACACUCGCAUCGGGAGCGCGGCGCGUCCACAGCCGUUAAACACCCAACUUCUGAAAUGUUGACCUCGGAUCAGGUAGGAAUACCCGCUGAACUUAAGCAUAUCAA
rnacentral:rRNA from 1 species